AACGAACGCUGGCGGCAUGCCUAACACAUGCCAGUCGAACGAGACCUUCGGGUCUAGUGGCGCACGGGUGCGUAACGCGUGGGAACCUGCCCUUAGGUUCGGAAUAACUCCCCGAAAGGGGUGCUAAUACCGCAUAAUGUCUUCGGACCAAAGAUUUAUCGCCUUUGGAUGGGCCCGCGUUGGAUUAGCUAGUUGGUAGGGUAAAAGCCUACCAAGGCGACGAUCCAUAGCUGGUCUGAGAGGAUGAUCAGCCACACUGGGACUGAGACACGGCCCAGACUCCUACGGGAGGCAGCAGUGGGGAAUAUUGGACAAUGGGCGAAAGCCUGAUCCAGCAAUGCCGCGUGAGUGAUGAAGGCCUUAGGGUUGUAAAGCUCUUUUACCCGGGAUGAUAAUGACAGUACCGGGAGAAUAAGCUCCGGCUAACUCCGUG
rnacentral:rRNA from 1 species